GGGCAGAAGAAGACAUAAUGAAUGGGAAGCUAUUGAAAUUGUGGAGUUGGCCACUCCACAAUGAGUGAGGCGUGUUACCUGUUUCUAAAGAUCGGGGAAGAUGCACAAAGUCACAUACCAAUAACCCCAGAGACUUCUGUGUCACGGCUCUUGUUCCCAUCUCUCAGAUGGGUUUCCUGGGGGAAAGUCUUGAGUUGUACUUUUUAUAACAUACGUGUGUGAGAGGAGACUAAACUCAGUCCUGUUGAGAUGUGGAUAUGAAAUGUCUGUGGAAUGAAUGUCGAUGGCUAAUCUUGGUUGUCACAUUGACCACACCUGGAAUCAAGUAGAACAAAGCUAGUGUGCACUCCUGGGAAGGAUUUUCCUAAUCGAAUUAUUUGAAGCAUGAAGCCCCACCCUAAACCUGAGCUGCACUUUCUGGUGUCGACCCACAUAGAAGAAGAAAACUUUGCUUUUUGUCUGCUUGCCUUCACUAAUACUGGCAUGUUCAUCUAUUCUGUUACUGCAUCCAGUAUUACAUUUAACUUAUUCAGGAUUCCAACAUGGACUGAAGACAAGGGGGGCUCUCUAAGAAUCUCCUAAGCCUCCAGUACCAGACUAUAACUAUUCAGCCAUGUGGACCAAAAAGCUUGGGAAUUCUCAGCCUUCCUGGUGUAAGACAGACAUUGUUAUGCUGCCUGGACCACAGCUUGUUAGCCAAGCUAAAAAAAAACUCCUUCAAAUAUAUAUUCAUCUCAUCAAUUCGGUUCCUUUAGAGAACUACAACCAAUACAUCUAGAGAACAUGUCUUCAAAACCGAAGAUGAUACAAAGGAGACGCUAGAAAAUCUCCAGAAUUUGUUGGCUUUAUUCAACGAGAUAGUAUAGUAUGCAAGAUGGUGUGUGAUAGUCUCAGCUGUGACAUCAGUACCCACCACUCAUCCCCUCCCUUCUGGGACAUGUGCUGGUUGGUUUUGAAUGUCAACAUACACAACUGUGAAGCACCAGAGACUAGAACCUCAGUAGAGGAAUAAAUGGUCUAGGUCAGA